CAAAAUCGGUGGUGCAGGAGGGCGGAGCUACAGAUACUUUAUGGUUCUUUCCCGGCAAGUUGGAAUAUUACCAGAAAACAUUUUGUUCGGCUGGGGGGGCUUUUUUUUAAACCUAGGGCCCAGGCAAAGAUGACAGCGGCCCUGCCCUACGGAGACGGUUGACACGCAUGCUCAUUUAGGUGAGACCGACUUCAUCCUGGGAAUCUUUUCGGCGGGACAGUACAGUAGUCUAGUAACGAACCUGGACUCGAUCUACUACUGAACUAGGAUAUUGUGCUGUGUAAAUAAUUUGCAUUGAGGAGAGUCCAUCAGCUCACUAACACGGGUGAGGGACAGGGACCAAAGAGGAGGCUCUACAACAUGAGGAAAGACGGCGAUCCUCAAGCAGUCAGUCCAUGAGCCCACGUCUUCAGGCCAGGGGCCCGAGAGGAAUUUCCAGUGACAUGGAUCAACAGAGAUCCUCAAACAGUCAGUCCAUGUGCCACGUUCCAGCCAGGGACCAAAAGGGGGGCUUUCGUCAUGGGGCCAGACAGACAUCCUCAAGCAAAAUAGAGAGAUGCAUCCAGGCCACCCACUAGGAGGUGGAAAAUCGUACGAAGAGGUGGCUGUACCUGGCAGCAGACUGAGAUGGGGUGAGGAAGAGAAGCACAGACCAAGAACGGAAUGU